GUUCUCUUCUCAUCCCAGCUGUCAGACAGCUGGGUAAAUUAUCCUUAAAUAAAAUGGUUUCUGGCCUCUCAGAAUCUUUGGAAAAGGAAGCACUAUAAAUCCAGACACGACCGGCAGCAAAGAAACACCUGCACUGAAAAGCUUCAGCACCAAGGCCAGAGGUGCUGAAGUCUCAAGAGGGCUGGAGAAGGCAUCUGUCCAAUGCAGAGAAACCUGAGAACGACGAUUCAAGGAUAAAGGGAUGCUUCCCUUGUCAGGUCCUCACAUUAUGACAUAUUUGAGCUCUAUCACAAGAGAUCUGAGACUGCCUACUUAAGAAUUAACCCCUCCAGGCUGGAGAGAUG